AUUGAACGCUGGCGGCAGGCCUAACACAUGCAAGUCGAGCGAGUGGCGGACGGGUGAGUAAUGUAUGGGGAACUGCCUGAUGGAGGGGGAUAACUACUGGAAACGGUAGCUAAUACCGCAUACCAUCAGAUGUGCCCAUAUGGGAUUCGCUUGUAGGUGGGGUAACGGCUCACCUAGGCGACGAUCCCUAGCUGGUCUGAGAGGAUGACCAGCCACACUGGGACUGAGACACGGCCCAGACUCCUACGGGAGGCAGCAGUGGGGAAUAUUGCACAAUGGGCGCAAGCCUGAUGCAGCCAUGCCGCGUGUAUGAAGAAGGCCUUCGGGUUGUAAAGUACUUUCAGUGAGGAGGCGUUACUCGCAGAAGAAGCACCGGCUAACUCCGUGCCAGCAGCCGCGGUAAUAC
rnacentral:rRNA from 1 species